AUGAACUCAUCCUGCAUGCACACCUACACACACACACACACACACACACACACACACACGCACGGCACACACACACAAAGAAAUUACGAGAAAAAAAAAACUUAUCUAGUAAGCCUGAAAAGUCUGCUCUGAAGGGGUUUGCUGCAGACUCUAGAGUGCUGAGGUAAAACGUCAGUAGGGUUAGCUUUAUAAAUACUGGUGUUAGGUAGCACUGGGUCUGGAUGAGCAUGGCCACUGAUAUCUUUUACUUUCUGAGAAGUCAUGGGCUUGCUUUCUUCUGCAAAACAUAUGAAUAUGAAACAACGAUUUUACCUACAAGCAACUUGUCCUCAAACAGCUUCUUGUGUAUGGAGAACCAAACCCAGACCUUAAAUCCAGCGCAAGACCCAGCAGAGUGUGUGAAAGAAGUGAAAUCACUAAUGUGGAUAUAUGUACUGGUAGGAAAUAUUAUACGUGGAAUUGGUGAAACUCCCAUCAUGCCCUUGGGUGUUUCCUACAUAGAAAACUUUGCCAAAUCUGAAAACUCUCCUUUAUACAUUGGAAUUCUAGAAACAGGAAAGAUGAUUGGCCCAAUAUUUGGGCUUUUGUUGGGAUCCUUCUGUGCAAGCAUUUAUGUAGACACAGGGUCUGUGAAUACAGAUGACCUGACCAUAACUCCCACAGAUAUACGCUGGGUUGGUGCUUGGUGGAUCGGCUUUUUGGUCUGUGCAGGAGUGAAUAUCCUGAUUAGCAUUCCCUUUUUCUUUUUUCCCAAAACACUCCCAAAGGAAGGAUU
rnacentral:lncRNA from 1 species